ACCAAGGAGUCUAACAUGUGCGCGAGCCGCGGGGCAGUACGAAACCCGUAAGGCGAAAUGAAGGUGAACGCCGGCGCGGUCCGGCGGAGGUUGGAUCCCGUCCCGUCGGGGCGGGCGCACUACCGGCCGAUCUUCUCCGCCCUGUCGGCGAGGUCGAGCGAGAGCGUGCAAGUCGGGACCCGAAAGAUGGUGAACUAUGCCUGAGGAGGUUGAAGCCAGAGGAAACUCUGGUGGAGGACCGUAGCGAUUCUGACGUGCAAAUCGAUCGUCAAAUUUGGGUAUAGGGGCGAAAGACUAAUCGAACCGUCUAGUAGCUGGUUCCCUUCGAAGUUUCCCUCAGGAUAGCUGGCGCUCUGUCGCAGUUUUAUCUGGUAAAGCGAAUGAUUAGAGGUCUUGGGGGCGAAACGCCCUCAACCUAUUCUCAAACUUUAAAUUGGUAAGAAGCCCGACUCGCUCGUUUGGAGCCGGGCAUGGAAUGCGAGUGCCAAGUGGGCCACUCUUGGUAAGCAGGACUGGCGAUGCGGCUGAGCGGCGCCUGCGCGGUUUAGCUUCGGUCGAAGAUCGGGCCCGAGAAGAAAUUUCGGCGGGGGUGCGACGUCGGUGCCCCGGCAGAAACGGCUGCUUUCCCGAUGAAUUAACGUGGGGUACCCG
rnacentral:ncRNA from 1 species